ACACAUACACACACACACACACACACACACACACGGGGCUCGGACAUCACACAGUUAUCUGAUGUCCUCUCUUUCUGUACUCUCGGGUCUCUAAGUUUCUCACAAUCUGCAAGUUGAUUGAAAAACUCCCAAUUCUGUAUUCUUAUAUAUGAAGAAGUAAUACUGCAUCUGUAAGCCACACCCUUGUUUCCUCCUGCUUACUUUAUCUUCUCCCAUAUUGUUCUAGGAAGAUGUGUUUGCCUUCUCGGUCUGCCAAGAAAGAUAUAAAUAAGGACAACUGUACAAAAGAGAAAAUGAUGAGGGAGACCUUGGAGAUAGAGUUGGGGGCCUUGGAGGAUUCCCUACGUUCAUCAGAAAGAGCUCACUAAUGUGGAAAACCAAAGUGAGGAAAAUUGAUCGUUUGACACCUUGGAGAUUUUACCUGAGGGAAGAUAAUUUCUUCAAGCCUCUUGUGCCUGUGAGAGUCAAGCGCUGUUUUGCAGCUGCAGUACUGAUAAUGUAUUCACAUUCUCCCCAGAGCAAUGGAUUCUUUAACCUUAAUAUUGAGACUGGAAUGAGAUUCUGUCCUCUAGAGGUCACCAAUGCACCAGAUUUGAAGGCCAUGGAGGCUUCCAAAAUGCUCAGGAAGAGCCAUGUGUCCUGUUCACGUUUGAAUGAGAGAGAAAAUAAGGAUCCAGCGCUCAGUACCUCUACAGGUGUUCUUAUGGCCCACAGAAAUGCUUCUCCAUGUCUCUUGCCCUAUUACCUUGAAAGGAAAAGUGGCUGCCCUAAAUCCCCAAAUGCUAUGAACAUUGGAGGAUUGUGUCACUGUCAGUGUUGCAUUUGGACACCUCUUUGGAGUAUCAGAAGGAUUUCAGCAGUGGAAGCUCUUAAGAAAGAAUACACAAAUUAUUUUAUCUUGUCAUAUUCUUUCUCUCAGAUAGCAUAAAUGCAAUAAAUUCG
rnacentral:lncRNA from 1 species